UGAGGAAUAUUGGUCAAUGGACGGAAGUCUGAACCAGCCAAGUCGCGUGAAGGAAGACGGUUCUAUGAAUUGUAAACUUCUUUUGUCGGGGAGUAAAGUCAGCUACGCGUAGCUGUUUGCAAGUACCCGAAGAAAAAGCAUCGGCUAACUCCGUGCCAGCAGCCGCGGUAAUACGGAGGAUGCGAGCGUUAUCCGGAUUUAUUGGGUUUAAAGGGUGCGUAGGCGGGAUAUUAAGUCAGUGGAGAAAUCACGAAGCUCAACUUCGUAACUGCCAUUGAAACUGGUAUUCUUGAGUGCGGUAGAAGUGUGCGGAAUGCGUAGUGUAGCGGUGAAAUGCAUAGAUAUUACGCAGAACCCCGAUUGCGAAGGCAGCACACCGGGCCGUAACUGACGCUGAAGCACGAAAGCGUGGGUAUCGAACAGG
rnacentral:rRNA from 2 species